rnacentral:rRNA from 1 species
UACGGAGGGGGCUAGCGUUGUUCGGAAUUACUGGGCGUAAAGCGCGCGUAGGCGGCACUGCAAGUCGAGGGUGAAAGCCCGAGGCUCAACCUCGGAACUGCCUUCGAUACUGCGGGUCUCGAGUCCGGGAGAGGUGAGUGGAAUUCCUAGUGUAGAGGUGAAAUUCGUAGAUAUUAGGAAGAACACCAGUGGCGAAGGCGGCUCACUGGCCCGGUACUGACGCUGAGGCGCGAAAGCGUGGGGAGCAAACAGG